UUGCAUCAUAAACAAUAACUGAGUAUUGUUCUGAGAUCUGUCACUCGGUCACUUUCUAACCACAGUGCAGUUCUGGUUGUCUCUAAACAACGCCAGUGUGAAGUGCUUUUACACUUUGUGUGCGUCUCUCGCUUGUGUCUAUUUAAGUCAGGUAGGACCUUCAAGCAAAUACAGCAGGAUGUUGUCAAUCGUUGCAGAAUGUAAAUCCUUUUUAUAAUAUCAAGGCCAAAACUAUAUUCUUUCCAGGGUUGGCAAUAGGUGGAUUUACUGUGUUGAAAACAGAUAUUUUUUUAUCCAUAUUACCAGUUAAAUGGACUGAGAACUGAGAAUGUUCAUGGCAACAACCUAUGGAACAAUUAGGGUGAAUUGCUUUGCUCAGGGAUUGAACAGCAGUGCAAACUGUAUAUUAAAUCAAUCAAACUUUCAGUUCCUUUUUAGAUUUUCACAGAGUUGACCAUAAAGCAAAAUGUUCUUUGUCAUUGAAGUGGCAUACAAAGCAGCACAUUUAUAUAAAUAUAUAGUAUUUUGUGUAUUUAAAUCUAUUUAGUAGGUGGAGUUGACAUGUUAUGGUGAUGCCCAAGGUGGGUGGAGUUGACAAGUUAUGGUGGUGCCCAAGGUGGAUGGAUUUGACAUGUUAAGGUGGUGACCCAGAUAGAUGGAGUUGACAUGUUAUGGUGGUGACCAAGAUAGAUGGAUUUGACAUGUCAUGGUGGUGACCAAGAUAGAUGGAGUUGACAUGUUAUGGUGGUGCCCAAGGUGGAUGGAGUUGACAUGUUAUGGUGGUGACCAAGGUAGAUGGAGUUGACAUGUUAUGGUGGUGCCCAAGGUGGAUGGAGUUGACAUGUUAUGGUGGUGCCCAAGGUAGAUGGAGUUGACAUGUUAUGGUGGUGACCAAGGUAGAUGGAGUUGACAUGUUAUGGUGACCAGGGUGACCUGAAUAUUGUUUGAUUAAAUUCAUUAUAGUUAUACUUGUUAAACUACAUAUGAUGAUGACAUGAGGAACAGGUUCUGAUGAUUUGGUUAGACCUGCUCAUUCCUGAUUGGAUUAGGAUGUUGUACAAAUCUGAAGGAUAUGAUUAGAUCUGUGUAAUGAUUUAAAAGAGAAAUACUGCGUAAAGUCACAGUGCUUUUGCAGGAUGGUACAAAGUAAAGUCCUUUUUCAGUUCAGUUUUGAGUUCAUAACUACCUCUUUGAAGCAUUUGAUGUAAAUAUCCUUCUCUCAGCACAACUGUUAGGAAUACUUUCGAGCCAACUUAAUAAAUACUAUUAAAUAAGUACUAUUAAAACAUCUAUAAAAUUCCAGAAAAUAAAAUGUUUCCCUAAACAGUUAUUACAUUAUCAAUUACUGUAUUCUGCUACUUAAAAAAUAUAUAUUCCAAAGAUAAAAAUAAAGUUUCCCUCUCGUGCAAAGAAUUGUUAUAGGUUAAAGGGUUAUUGUUCAUGAUGAAAAAAGGCUCAGCAGAUCAGUCCAGUAAGGGCGUGGCCAAGGAGGAAGCUCAGCGGAUCAGUCCAGUAAGGGCGUGGCCAAGGAGGAAGCUCAGCGGAUCAGUCCAGUAAGGGCGUGGCCAAGGAGGAAGCUCAGCAGAUCAGUCCAGUAAGGGCGGGGCCAGGGAGGAAGCUCAGCAGAUCAGUCCAGUAAGGGCGGGGCCAGGGAGGAAGCUCAGCAGAUCAGUCCAGUAAGGGCGGGGCCAGGGAGGACGCUCAGCAGAUCAGUCCAGUAAGGGCGGGGCCAAGGAGGAAAUACC
ensembl:lncRNA